CUGGAGUGCCCCUCUUUCUCUUCAUGCUCCCAUCUGGCUGUUUUUAAGACUGACCUCAAGACCCUCCUCUCUGGGACAUUUCUGACCACGGGACCAAGGACUUGAAUGCGGGACUUCGGAUCUUGGCUGAGGCCUCUGGUCCGACAUUCAGUCUUCUGUCAUCCAUUUCGUAUAAGGAGAAGAUGUCCACUGGUUUUAAAGGGAACCAUAAUGAAAUUGUUCCAUAGGACUCAUGUGUUUGUUAUCAUUAAAAGCCGUUUGCUCAG
rnacentral:lncRNA from 1 species